rnacentral:rRNA from 1 species
CCUACGGGAGGCAGCAGUGAGGAAUAUUGGUCAAUGGACGAGAGUCUGAACCAGCCAAGUAGCGUGAAGGAUGACUGCCCUAUGGGUUGUAAACUUCUUUUAUAUGGGAAUAAAAUGUUCCACGUGUGGGACUUUGUAUGUACCAUAUGAAUAAGGAUCGGCUAACUCCGUGCCAGCAGCCGCGGUAAUACGGAGGAUCCGAGCGUUAUCCGGAUUUAUUGGGUUUAAAGGGAGCGUAGGUGGAUUGUUAAGUCAGUUGUGAAAGUUUGCGGCUCAACCGUAAAAUUGCAGUUGAAACUGGCAGUCUUGAGUACAGUAGAGGUGGGCGGAAUGCGUGGUGUAGCGGUGAAAUGCUUAGAUAUCACGAAGAACUCCGAUUGCGAAGGCAGCUCACUGGACUGCAACUGACACUGAGGCUCGAAAGUGUGGGUAUCAAACAGGAUUAGAUACCCCAGUAGUC